AAAAUGAAAGAAAUAAAAAACAAUCGAACAUGAAACAAAAACAAGGUAUGCAUACACGCCAGAAAAUUGUCAAUGUAUCCUGGCUUUCCAU
rnacentral:ribozyme from 16 species